rnacentral:rRNA from 1 species
GUGCCAGCAGCCGCGGUAAUACGUAGGUGGCAAGCGUUGUCCGGAAUUAUUGGGCGUAAAGCGCGCGCAGGCGGUCCUUUAAGUCUGAUGUGAAAGCCCACGGCUCAACCGUGGAGGGUCAUUGGAAACUGGGGGACUUGAGUGCAGAAGAGGAAAGCGGAAUUCCACGUGUAGCGGUGAAAUGCGUAGAGAUGUGGAGGAACACCAGUGGCGAAGGCGGCUUUCUGGUCUGUAACUGACGCUGAGGCGCGAAAGCGUGGGGAGCAACAGGAUUAGAUAC